GACUGUGAAUUAAUUUUAUUUAGGUUAGAUUUAUUUUAAUUAAAAAUUAUGGUGGGUAUAUUUUUGGUGAAAUAUUUUUUAUUAUUAUUUAAAUUAAUUUAUAUGGUAUAAAUUAUUAUCAAUUAGGAUUAGAUACCCUAUUAGUAGUUGUUUUGUUUUUCUAAGGAUUAGAGUAAAAAUAAAAAUAUUUGGCGGCUAUUUUAAUUUAAAGGGAUUUGCUUAUUUCGAUUUACCUCGUUUAUGGUUUAAUUUAAUUUUGUAUACCGUCAUUUAGGUAAUUUAUAUAUAAGUAAUUAUGGUAAUUAUGUUCAUUAUAUUAGAUCAAGGUGCAGAAAUAAUUAUAGUUAGGUUAAUGACAAUAAUGAUUAUUAUACAGGAUGUAGUUAGGGGUGCAGAAUAGGUGGAUUUAAAUGUAAUAAAAUUAAUUUGAAGUUAAAUCAGUAGUGUACAAAUUGCCCGUCAUUCUCUUUGAG
rnacentral:rRNA from 1 species